rnacentral:rRNA from 1 species
UACAGAGGUCUCAAGCGUUGUUCGGAUUCAUUGGGCGUAAAGGGUGCGUAGGUGGCGCGCUAAGUCGGGUGUGAAAUUUCGGAGCUUAACUCCGAAACUGCAUUCGAUACUGGAGAGCUUGAGUCCGGGAGAGGUGAGUGGAACUGCGAGUGUAGAGGUGAAAUUCGUAGAUAUUCGCAAGAACACCAGUGGCGAAGGCGGCUCACUGGCCCGGUACUGACGCUGAGGUGGCGAAAGCGUGGGGAGCAAACAGG